rnacentral:tRNA from 1 species
GGGGUUGUGGCUCAAUGGUAGAGCACUCACCUAGCGCGUGAGAGGUGCCGAGUUCGAUCCUCAGCACCA